rnacentral:tRNA from 1 species
GGCGGUGGAAAUGGCGAAUAAUGGGUAAUCAUUGGCAAACAAUGACAAUCUAUGUCAAUGAUAAAUAACACAAACUAUUGAUUUUCUGUUGUUCUUAUAGGAACUCAUAAUCGCUUGGUCGCUGGUUCAAGUCCAGCAGGGGCCACCA